rnacentral:rRNA from 1 species
GACGAACGCUGGCGGCGUGCCUAACACAUGCAAGUCGAACGGGACUUAGCGGAAAGCGAUUUCGGUCAAUGGAAGUUAAGUUUAGUGGCGAACGGGUGAGUAACGCGUGAGAAACCUGCCUCUCAGUGGGGGACAACAGUUGGAAACGACUGCUAAUACCGCAUAAUAUUACCGGAGGGCAUCCUCUGGUAAUCAAAGCUUAAUGUGCUGAGAGAUGGUCUCGCGUCUGAUUAGUUAGUUGGCGGGGUAACGGCCCACCAAGGCGACGAUCGGUAGCCGGACUGAGAGGUUGAACGGCCACAUUGGGACUGAGACACGGCCCAGACUCCUACGGGAGGCAGCAGUGGGGAAUAUUGCGCAAUGGGGGAAACCCUGACGCAGCAACGCCGCGUGCAGGAAGAAGGUCUUCGGAUUGUAAACUGUUGUCGCAAGGGAAGAAGACAGUGACGGUACCUUGUGAGAAAGUCACGGCUAACUACGUG